GGGGGUCAAUCAUCAUUGGCUUUUGUUGAUCGGUGGCCUAGCUCCCUUCUUUAAUAUCAGCAACUCUACUAUUAAAAGCUUUAUGUGGGCAUUCUAUUGGCUAUAUGUCUCAUAUGUCCACAAGCAAAAUAAUAAAUAAAGAUGCCCUCAUAAGUAGAAAGUUAUCAAAUUCAUUCUUCAUCAUCCUCUCCUUAGAGGUCUGAAGGAAAGGUAUUUGAUC
rnacentral:lncRNA from 1 species